AAUUCAUAGUUUAUGAGCUUACAUAAGAUUCAGUUGUAUGCAAGAGAAAUGAAGACUUGAGCACAAAAAAAUAUAGUUGCUUGAUAUUCUCUUAAAACAGGAGAGUCAAAAUGAGCAUAAUGCACGCGCUUUGUUAGAACCUAUAUCAUUUGACACACUCCUUGUCUUGUUUGGUAUAGAUAAAUUGUCAAGAAUUCGUGCUUUGACAAAAUGCUUUGCUUGAUGCUUGCUAUAAGCAUGAAAGACGAGAUGGAAAGAAGUAUCGCAAGUUCAGAUACUUUCAGGAAUCACAACAAAGAUACUAGGUGCUAAAAUUGGCCAGCGUAUACAAGUUAAGUUACAGGUUUCAAGGUCAAGGGACACGCAGUAAAAAGAGAAGGAAUAAGUUAUUUAAAAGAUGUAUACAAGUUAUAGGUGUAUCAGAUUUGCAAUUAGCCAUAACUCAACUGAUUUUAGACCUCAUGCAAACUUUAGAUAUUUAUCUAUAUAGAGAACAGAGCCUAACUUGGUGUUAGUAGAAACAGAAGAAGGCAUUAUGUAAUUCUUGGCUGCAAACUAUUUUUCCAUCAAACAUACUUUGUUGCAUACAUAUUCAAAAGAAAAUUUACUCAUUAAUGGCUAGGGGAAAACAUGUAUAGGUCAAAGUUAAA